AUCUCCACCAAAUUUGGGGUCAUUUUAACAGACAUUUUCUCUCCAAAAUUAUUCCAAGUUUCUAGACAGAGAGGAUGCCUGUGAAGGAAGUACCAUUUUGGUGAAUCCAUUUUGUAUGAAAUUUUUACAGCAUCUUCAUAUGUACAAAUAAUCAAGACUUGCCAAAUUUGAGCUCAAGUUGAUACUCCAUGUGAGUGCAUCAUCUUGAUCAAGUUUCUGCACCAUAAUGUGAGUUGCACAGCAACUAUAUUAGUUUGUGGUCCAUUGUACUCCAAAACCUCCAGGGUUAUAGUCCUUCUUAAGCUAAAUCUCCCAGACAUCACAUUUGACCCUUAUCAUCUCUCUGUUGAUCACACUAGCAUGAUCAAGUUUGAUGCAGCAAACUUCUCUGGAUGAAUCCCAUCUAACCACAGUACCCCAGAUCAAGCCAUAGCCUCAUUAGUGAUCUAUAUUGGAAGGACUAUUAGCUAGACAACAUUUUGGGUGCCAGAGAGCAUUGAAUGCCCCGGUUUACAUGGUGACUGCGAUGAUGGGAAGCCUGUGCACGCGCUCUGCUCGUUGUGGCGCGUCCAGGACGUUGUUUCUGCUUCGGCCACUCUUCCUCUCGUCGUCUUCGCGUGCAUGAGCAUGUCUGGCAUCUUCCCCUCGACGUCUACUUCUCUCUGGACUCUUCUCCCCCUCCGAAAACCUACUCGUCGGGGCUCGCCGCCGCGCGCGCACGGGCGAAUAGUGGCCGACAUGGCAUUGAAUGUGCUCGUCUCUUCUUCCCCAUGCCCCCUUGGCUCCCUCUGCUCCCGUGAGCUCCUCCCUGUUCCUCCUCCGUCGCCUACCUCCGAGCUCGCGCGCGGGCACACACGUCCGCGGCUCCGGCCACGCGUCUACGGCGACUUCCAGCUCGGCCUCCUCCUCCCCGCCUAUUUAAGCAGCUCCGGACCGCGUCCUUCCUCACCACUCGCCUCUUGCAUCCUCCAGAGCCCCGCCCAACCCCUCCUUUGAGCUCGAGGAGCUUCACUGCCCCUUCCAUGGCCGAAACCUCGUUGUUGGCCUCCGCUCAAAUCCGAGCGAGCCCGAGCUUCUCUCUCUGUUCCACCACCACCAGUAGACCCCCUAGUUCGCGCAGAGCCUCCCUACAUCUUUGGCUUCUCCUCUGGUGGACCGGGGCACCAAGAUCACCGGCGACCAAAGCCCUCCUCCACCGUGGUCGCGUUCGUCCCUGUUUCAGAGCUCCCCGGCGGAGAAGACCCCCACCAGGCGAUGCUUCUCCGUCCCCUGAGCGCUCCGGUAGGUCGGGCGCCGCCUACGGUGGCCGGAGUCACCGGCGAGCCUCGUCGGGGCGGGCUCCUCCCUCGGCCGAGAGCGGGCAGGCACGCGAGGAAGAAGAAGCUCAGGCCAGGCGGGCCCCACCCCGCACGACCCCACAUGUCGGCCACACAGCGUUGACCCCGCAGGCCCACAGACGUGGAUAAGUGGAGGCAUAUUCUCCUGAAUACGUCUCCCCUACACGAAAGCGCAUUCCUCUUCUUCAUUGGGACAUAAUGCGUUUCCUUCUCUGGAAAACGUAUUUUCUGAAAAGGCGCGUUCGGUUUUUCAGCUGAGGGCCUGUUUGUGAUGAUUUCAUUACAGAUAGGUCCCUGGAAGAAAAACCUUUAUAACUUUUUGAUCCUAACUCCAAAUGAGCCCCCUCCGAGAGAGAAAGAUUUCCGCGAUUCUUUCCACGAGCUUCUCGCACUUCCUCCCGGUGAAUCCCUCCAUCCCAGGCAAGCCACACCCUCCAUUUGCAUGAUUGCAAUGUAGUGACAUGGUUUACUUAUUUAAACUUGCUUAAAAUUUGCAUUAGCUACAUUUGACUUGUUCAUGGCAUUUCUCGGAGUGGCAUUCUGAUCUUGUUAUUGCCAUGAUGUUGCUUGGAGUUCUAGGACUAAUAUUUUUGCAGCUUAUGAGGAUGACUUGUUGCCUUUGGAUUAUAGUGGCUUAUAUUAUGAUUAUUUUCAUGUUGAUAUAUGAUAUUAUGCUUUGGAGUAUUAUAUUGGAUUUGAUGCUAUCAUGUGGAUCUUAGGUUAAUAUUUUGAUUGAAUUAGUAGCAUCUUGGUACUUGGAUUCAUCAUGGUAGUAGUGAUAUGUUGCCCUCGGAGUAGUUUGAUAUGAUGAUAGUAUGCUUUGGAUUAUGUGACGGGUAUUGCUAUGACUUGGAUCACAGGUUGAUAGAUGAUACCGGAGUAUCAGUGUCGCAUAUAUACUUUUGGGAUAAAUUCCAUCAUUAAGUUGGUCAGGUGCCACCGAACCGGGCUUUUCCAAUACAACCACAUUUGCCCUUAUGGGAAGGCCCUAAUGCGGUCUAUUUUCAUGCCUCUCGCCGGUGCCUCCAAUGAGGGAAGGUUGUACGCGGGCGCUACCUUGCCCGGGUAGGAUGGCAUAAGCCUUGUGUGCCCGUUUGUCGGAGUGGCUGGGAGGGUGUGAUGGCAAUAGAUCGGUUUUGUCGGAAUGCCGUUGGUCCAUCCGAAUGGGAGUGCAAGGCCAUGGGUUCCAUAGUGUGGGUAUAGUGUGCUAACCUCCGCAGAGUGUGUGUGUUUUAAUUUAUCGAUAGCCGCGUCCUCGGUCAUGGGCACAGUUCGUACUAGGUCACACCACUCGAUCAACACUCACAUGACGGAAUGGCUUAUAGGUGAUUUAUAUGUUGAUAUAUUGUGGGCAGUAACAGCUUGGCAGGAUGCUGAUGAUGAUGUUGAGAUGAUCCCGAGGAUGAUCAUUCAGUUUGUGAUGUGGUCACGAGGUGAUCAUGUGGAUGUUUUAAUCAUGAUGUGGUCAUGUGGAUCACGAGGUGAUCGAGAUGGUAUAUUGCUUGGCCGGAUAGCCAAGUGUGAGAUGGUUCAGUGAGAUUGAGAUGUUGGUUUAUCAGCAUUGUAGUAGUUUCAUAUCAUGCUUAGUAGUUGCUUUCGUAUCAUAGUAGUUGUUAAUUAAUUAACCUGUUAAAUGCUCUGUUGUUGUUUUGCCUUGAUGCUUAUGGUUGUUGUGAGCUUGCAAGUACAUUCAAUGCACUGACCUGGCGUGUCAUGCCAGAUCGCAGGU